UGGAAACCUUAAAGUCCACAUGAGGAUUCACACAGAGGAGAAGCCUUUCACCUGCCCUCAGUGUGUAAAGAGUUUUACUCAUAAAAGCACUUUGAAUGUUCACAUGGCAAUUCACACUGGAGAGAAGCCAUUCACAUGCAAACUGUGUGGAAAUAGUUUCAUUGAAAAAGGAACCCUUAGAAGGCACUCGAGGAUUCACACCGGCGAGAAGCCUUACACAUGCCCUCAAUGUGGAAAGAGUUUUACUCAACAAGGAAGCUUUAAAAGGCACAAGAUAAUUCACACUGGAGAGAAGCCGUUCACAUGCAAACUGUGUGGAAACAGUUUCACACGACAAACAAGCUUUAACAGGCACAUGAGAAUUCACACCAGAGAGAAGCAUUAAGCAUUUAUGUGGCAAGAAGAGCAGGGGCCGAGAGCCGUGGGAACGAGUCUCACAGAAGGAGAUCUGGAAGGAUAAAAGGAGGAGUGACGACAGUGCAAGACUGGAGAGGACAGGCCUGGACUUCAUGUUGUGCUUUAUGUUUUUUAUGCGGCAGUCGUCUGUGAGGGGCUGCUGCUUUACUUUUCUUUUUGUUGUUUGUUUAUUUAAUAAUUCAAGUUGUAUGUUUAUAUGUUUGC